AGGUAAGCUACUAAGAGCGAAUGGUGGAUGCCUUGACUGGUAAAGGCGAUGAAGGACGUACUAGACUGCGAUAAGCUACGGGGAGCUGUCAAGAAGCUUUGAUCCGUAGAUUUCCGAAUGGGGCAACCCAAUGUAUAGAGAUAUACAUUACCUAUAUAGGAGCGAACGAGGGGAAUUGAAACAUCUUAGUACCCUCAGGAAAAGAAAUCAAUAGAGAUUGCGUCAGUAGCGGCGAGCGAAAGCGCAAGAGGGCAAACCCAGUGCUUGCACUGGGGGUUGUAGGACUGCAAUGUGCAAGAGGUAAGUUUAGCAGAACAUUCUGGAAAGUAUAACCAUAGAGGGUGAUAGUCCCGUAUGCGAAAAACAAACCUUAGCUAGCAGUAUCCUGAGUAGGGCGGGACACGAGGAAUCCUGUCUGAAUCCGGGUCGACCACGAUCCAACCCUAAAUACUAAUACCAGAUCGAUAGUGCACAAGUACCGUGAGGGAAAGGUGAAAAGAACUGAGGUGAUCAGAGUGAAAUAGAACCUGAAACCAUUUGCUUACAAUCAUUCAGAGCCCUAUGUAGCAAUACAGGGUGAUGGACUGCCUUUUGCAUAAUGAGCCUGCGAGUUGUGGUGUCUGGCAAGGUUAAGCAAACGCGAAGCCGUAGCGAAAGCGAGUCUGAAUAGGGCGCUUAGUCAGAUGCUGCAGACCCGAAACGAAGUGAUCUAUCCAUGAGCAAGUUGAAGCUAGUGUAAGAACUAGUGGAGGACUGAACCCAUAGGCGUUGAAAAGCCCCGGGAUGACUUGUGGAUAGGGGUGAAAGGCCAAUCAAACUUCGUGAUAGCUGGUUCUCUCCGAAAUAUAUUUAGGUAUAGCGUUGUGUCGUAAUAUAAGGGGGUAGAGCACUGAAUGGGCUAGGGCAUACACCAAUGUACCAAACCCUAUCAAACUCCGAAUACCUUAUAUGUAAUCACAGCAGUCAGGCGGCGAGUGAUAAAAUCCGUCGUCAAGAGGGAAACAACCCAGACUACCAGCUAAGGUCCCUAAAUCUUACUUAAGUGGAAAACGAUGUGAAGUUACUUAAACAACCAGGAGGUUGGCUUAGAAGCAGCCAUCCUUUAAAGAAAGCGUAAUAGCUCACUGGUCUAGUGAUUUUGCGCGGAAAAUAUAACGGGGCUAAAGUAAGUACCGAAGCUGUAGACUUGCACACAACUUA
rnacentral:rRNA from 1 species